rnacentral:rRNA from 1 species
UACGUAGGGUCCGAGCGUUGUCCGGAAUUAUUGGGCGUAAAGAGCUCGUAGGCGGUUUGUCGCGUCUGCUGUGAAAUCCCGAGGCUCAACCUCGGGCCUGCAGUGGGUACGGGCAGACUGGAGUGCGGUAGGGGAGAAUGGAAUUCCUGGUGUAGCAGUGAAAUGCGUAGAUAUCAGGAGGAAUACCGAUGGCGAAGGCAGGUCUCUGGGCUGACACUGACGCUCAUGCACGAAAGCGUGGGGAGCAAACAGG